UACAGAGGUGGCAAGCGUUGUUCGGAAUUACUGGGCGUAAAGGGCGAGUAGGUGGCCACCUAAGUCAGACGUGAAAUCCCCCGGCUUAACCUGGGAACUGCGUCUGAUACUGGACGGCUUGAGUAUGGGAGAGGAACGUAGAAUUCCAGGUGUAGCGGUGAAAUGCGUAGAUAUCUGGAGGAAUACCGGUGGCGAAGGCGGCUCUCUGGGACGGUACUGACGCUGAGACGCGAAAGCGUGGGGAGCGAACAGG
rnacentral:rRNA from 1 species